AGUCGGGCGUUGAGCGCAAAGCGAAUUGUUCUUUCACCUUUUACUAAAGAAUACCGUGUGCUCCACAAAAUCAUCGACAUACCCCUAUUUUUGAAGGAGGUUGUCUUAUCUGAGAAAUU